GAGUUUGAUCCUGGCUCAGAACGAACGCUGGCGGCGUGCCUAACACAUGCAAGUCGUGCGGGAAAGUUACCUUCGGGUAGCGAGUAUAGCGGCGCACGGGUGAGUAACACGUAGGUAACCUGCCCCCCGAGACUGGGAUAACCUGUCGAAAGACGAGCUAAUACCGGAUAAUCCCUCCCGACUGCCGUUGGGAGCGUGAAAGAUGGCCUCUACUUGUAAGCUAUCACUCGGAGAUGGGCCUGCGUGCCAUUAGCUAGUUGGCGGGGUAAUGGCCCACCAAGGCGGAGAUGGCUAGCUGGUCUGAGAGGAUGAUCAGCCACACUGGGACUGAGACACGGCCCAGACUCCUACGGGAGGCAAGCAAGUGGGGAAUAUUGCGCAAUGGGCGAAAGCCUAGACGCAGCGACGCCGCGUGGGUGGUGAAGGCCUU
rnacentral:rRNA from 1 species